ensembl:ncRNA W05B2.12 ncRNA
UUUGAAUGACAUACAUUUAAGUUAAUCAACCUCGGAGUUUAACCAAAGUUCAAGCUUCUGCUAACAUUUAUUUUAUUGCCUCUUUUCCUUUUAACACAUAGUUUCAACUAAUU